UACGGGGGGGGCAAGCGUUGUUCGGAAUUACUGGACGUAAAGGGCUCGUAGGCGGCCAACUAAGUCAGACGUGAAAUUCCUCGGCUUAACCGGGGAACUGCGUCUGAUACUGGAUGGCUUGAGAUUGGGAGAGGGAUGCGGAAUUCCAGGUGUAGCGGUGAAAUGCGUAGAUAUCUGGAGGAACACCGGUGGCGAAGGCGGCAUCCUGGACCAACACUGACGCUGAGGAGCGAAAGCCAGGGGAGCAAACGGG
rnacentral:rRNA from 1 species